UUUAUUCCAAUUCUAUAUAUACAAAGGAGCAAAGGAAAAGCAAAGAAUGGAAACGCGGAGCCCACAUAAUUAUUCCAUUAGUUUUCCUUCUUGGAUUGUCAAUACAUACACCUAUAUGCAUAUGAAAAAUGAACCUGGACAGAAGGACAAAAAACAAGGGGGGCCCAUUAGGAACUUUCCAGGAAAUACUCCAUUCACACAGUACACAGAUAUCAUAUGUAUACACCAUUGUUUCUUUUCCUUCGGGGGAGACCUGGAGACACCAUCCUCUUCACUCAAAAUAUCGGCACACACAUACGCCCAAUCGCACACACACACACGCAAUCCUCGCCCUUCACAGCUCACUCAAAAUCGCACACUAAUCCGCACAUACCCAAAAAAAUGAAGCCGAUUGAGAGAGAGGGUGACGAAUAGAGAGAAAUAUAGUUAUUUUGGUUUCGGGUUUGUUGCCGGAUUUCGACAUUUUCCGUUAGCUUAUUCCCUUCACAGCUCACCGGAGCUUAGAUUUGGACUGAUUUUGAGCUCUCAGUUAGACUUCGGAGAUGUUAGUUCUCGUUUGCUCGUCAUUCGUCUUCCGAUAUCGUGCAUUUGAAGGUUUUUCAUACCGGGCCGGUCUGUUUUUCUGUUGCUAUUUUGUUGUGGUUUCAUCGGUCUUCGCUACUGAUUUGAAGAUUAGAAUCUCGUUCAUCUCGAAUCGUUAAUCGCGAUCAGUUUUUUGGUCUUCAAUCUUCGAUACCGAAUCUGGGAUUAUCGCAUUUUGGAUUAUUUCUCGACUGAUUUGGAGAGUCGAGAUUUCGUUGGUAUUCUUCGAGGUUCUUGAAUGGGCUCUUAUUUCUCUUAUUAAAUCAAUCGAAAGCUCCCGAGGUCCAAUUCUAACUUUUCUCUUUUUGAUUUUCUCGUAAUUACGAAUGAUUUGUAUGCUUAAAUGUUUGAAUCCUUGUUUGGGUAUGUGUUCAAUAUUGAUUUCGGAUUUGAAGAAAUAACUUGAUUGUCAAAUUAGUUGUUUGGGGUCUAGAUUGAAAAUUAAUAAUCGAAUAAGUCGAAGGUUGUUUAUUUUGAUUCAUUAUUGAAUAUUGUUGAAUUGGAUAGCAUCAUGAUUAGGCCAUCUAAUGAAUAGGUUAAAGUAAGUUCGGGUAGGCAAAUAUUUAGGAAUAAGUGUUUGCUCGUUGAAUUAUUGAAUGCUUGAAAUGCGUGUUGAAUGGUUUGGUUUUAUUGCUUUUGGAUUGAAUGUAUCAUUUAGCCGGGGAAUGCCCCGAGACACAUUGUAUUUAUUCACCGGGGAAUGCCUCGACGUACUAUGUUGGCGGAAGACGUUCGUGAUGAAGGCCCGAGGCAUCGGGUAACUUGGGAGCGUAGUUAGGAUUAGUAUAGGUUAGAUAGGAUUUAUUUUUCGCAUUUUAUUUAUUUUGGGUAUGUAUAAUCGGACUGAACACUAUACUUUGAUUCAUUUUGUUUGUUUGCUUUACGUGCUUCCUUGUGAUUUGUACAUUCGUAGUGUCAAAAUUAGCCGAUACGCUCCACCAAGCGACCGUGGUCAAACCACGGGAUCGAGAGGUGUCUAACACCUUCCCCUCGGUCAACAAAAUUCCUUAGUCGGAAUCUCUGUUCGCGGAUCAGUUCUAUAGAGUCAAAAUCGUUUUGAAAAGGGAUAUCCAUGGGUGACUUGGCACACCCGAUUUAUGCCAAGUGACGACUUUGAGUUUAGAAUAUAAAAGGUCCUUUUCGAAAUAAAUUUUCAUCUUUUGUCACUUUGAUAAUAAAACUCUUUUGAACAUAAAAUGAAUCUUUUCCAGAGUUGAAAAAAAAAAGUGUGACAGACAUGUACAAGCAAGCUGCGGAUGAAUUAAUAUCAGGGGUAAACCCUAUCACACCCCUUUUUUCAACUCCCAAAAAAAAAUUCAUUUAAGGUUUGAAAGAGUUUUUAUUAUUAGGUGACAAAAGAUGAACAUUUGUUUCGAAAAUGGAUUAUUUACAUUUCUGUUCUGAGUCACCACUUGACAUAACCCGGUGUGCCAAGUCACCUUUGGAAAAUCUUUUUCAAAACGAUUUGACUCUUCAAACUGGUUUGCGAACAGAGAUUUCGGCUAAGAAAUUCUAUUGACCGAGGAAAAGGUGUUAGGCACCCCUCGAUCCCGUGGUUCGACCACGGUCGCUUGGUGGAGCAUAACGGCUAAUUUGACACUACAAAAUGUAUAAAACACACGAAAAAAGCAAAUAAACAAAUCAAACAAAAUUCAAAAUCAAAAUAAUAUCCAUUCCGAAUUAUACAAUCCCAAGGAUAGAAGAAUACAAAAAUAUAAAUCCUAUACUAGACUAAUCCUAAACUAUGCCUCGGGCCUUCAUCAAAACGUCUUCCGCCAACAUAAUACAUCGGGGCAUUCCCUGGUGAAUAAAUACAAUGUGUCUCGGGGCAUUUCCCGGCUCCAAAUGCGAGAAAGACAAACCAUUUCUCAAACAUUCAACGCAUUCAAUCAACACACCACUCCUAAAUUUUGCCUACCCGAACCUAAACAUUUUGCCUAUCCAAUGCGAACUAUCAUGAUACUAUAGAAUUCACAAACUUGAUUCCGAAUUAAGCAAAAUAACAACGAACCAACAUUAAACCAAAUUUACCCUUUUUAUCAAUCUCGCAAUUCCACCCUAAAUUCUCUUCUCAACACUAAAUUUCCACAAUUCACGAUUUCUAUUUCAACAAUCCACAAUCACUUUUCAAUGAAAAUUAAGCAACGAGUUAAUAUCAAAGUAGCAAUUCAUAACCAAUCAAGAUCAAACAACACACGAGAUUCCAUCCAAUGCACCAUAUUCCAUCAAUAAUGAAAUAAAAAGAGGAAAGGAGUAGAAAUGGACCUCAAUGAUGAUUUUAUUUCGAAUAUCAGUCAAUCGAGAAGACGACUCUGUGUGAUGAAGAACCUCGAGUCUGCCUCAAAAAAUACCACAACUCGACUACGAACCAACUCCAAUACGACAAUCUUCAAAACCCGAUCCCAAAACAAAACCCACGAAGGCCAGUGAGCCACUUAUCCACUGAGGUGACUUAGCCUAGUAGGGAGAGGGGUGACUUCUCAAUUACUCAGCCUGACAACUUAGCCACUGGUUUGUAUAUCAACAUGACUAGAGCUUCCCUCACUGUCAAUGUUCUGCACCAUAAUUGAUUCAUCUAGAAUCAUCUUUUCAAUUUCUCUUUUCAAAUCUCAACAAUCUUCAAUACUAUGACCCUGAGCAUCAUAAUGAUACGCACAUCGUACAUUAGGAUCAAAAUUUCUUGAACGCUAAUUAAGAGUGCACCCAAGGAGAGGAGUGAUCAUACCCUAUUGUACUAAUCUCUGAAAUAAACUUCCAUACGACUCUUCAAUUGGUAUGAAGCUAUCUCUCGACUUCUUCCUUAUUUCAUCAUUUGGCUUGGAUAAAUUAGGCUUAGGAGGGUUUUGGUAUGUUUACGGAGUUAGAGAAUGACUCUGAGGAGUUGGUGUGUUCCACUGUGGGUAAUAUGGGGGUUGAACAUGUGGUUAUGCGUUAUAUACUGGAUAUAGAGGUGGAGGAGUAGAGUAUAAUAGAUUUUGGGAAUGAUUAUGUGGAGUUUGGACAUGAACUUGGGUUUGAGCCUGAGAGUGACGACAAUGGGGUCUUCUUGACCGUGCCCGCUGUCCGACUACAAUAGAGGAUGGAACUUCCUUAUUCUUUGUCUCCCCAAUACUUCCUGAACCCUUUUGAAUUGCUUGAGUUGUCGCUUUCAAUGUUGCAAAACUCACAAUGCGACCCGUCUUAAUUCCCUCUUCUAUAAUCUCCCCCAUUUUAAGGACAUCAAUAAAUGACUUGCCCAAUGCAGGUAACAAGUGUUGAUAAUAUGUUCCAUUCUACGCUUGAAUAAACUCCUCUACUAUUUUUCUUUCUUUCAUUGGCGGUUUUACUCUAGCAGCUUGUUCACACCAUCUGAUCGCAUAUUUCCUGAAACUCUCAGUAUUCUUCUUUUUUAUACUAUUUAGGGAUUUUUCGUCAGGAAUCAACUCCACAUUGUAUUAAAAUUGUUGCACAAAUUCAUUAUCUAGGUCAUCCAAACUAAACCACUUGUCAAUGUCUUGGUCAACAAACCAUUCCAAAGCUAGUCCUGAAAGAUUCUCCCCGAAAUAAGCCAUGAGUAGUUCUUCCUUCCCCCAGCACCCCUUAGUUGGUAGCAAUAACGUAUCAAGUGUGCAAUAGGAUCACCAUGUCCAUCAUACUUCUCAAACUUCGGCAUGUUAAAGCCAAAAGGAAGAUGAACCCAAGAAAACAUGCACAGAUCAACAAACAUUCAACGCAUUUAAUCAACACACCACUCCUAAAUUUUGCCUACCCGAACCGAAACAUUUUGCCUAUCCAAUGCGACCUACCAUGAUACUAUAGAAUUCACAAACUUGAUUCCGAAUUAAGUAAAACAACAACAAACCAACAUUAAACCAUAUUUACCCUUUUUAUCAAUCUCGCAAUUCCACCCCAAAUUCUCUUCUCAACACUAAAUUUUCACAAUUCACAAUUUCUAUUUAAACAAUUCACAAUCACUUAUCAACGAAAAUUAAGAAACAAGUCAAUAUCAAAGUAGCAAUUCAUCACCAAUCAAGAUCAAACAACACACGAGAUUCCAUCCAAUGCACCAUAUUCCAUCAAUAAUGAAAUAAAAAGAGGAAAGAAGUAGAAAUGAACCUCAAUGAUGAUUUUAUUUCAAAUAUCAAUCAAUCGAGAAGACGACUCCGUGUGACGAAGAACCCCAAAUCAGCCUCGAAGAAUACCACAACUCGACUACGAACCAACUCCAACACGACAAUCUUCAAAACCCGAUCCCAAAAAAAAACCCACAAAGGCCAGUGAGCAAAUCUCAGCUUGGUAUCGAGAAAACUGUGACCUAAGACAGAGCACGAUGAACCCACCGAGAUAAACAAAACCCAAAUCCAAAUACAACACCAGCGUUAAAUUGUUUAGAAUCGAUUUAAAAAAGAAAUGUUGAUGGUGCUAUUACUGUUCACUUCUUUCCGAUGGUAUCGCCUGAAACAAAAAGAAACGACAAGGUAUGUUGGGUUUUCGGCACAGGGCAAGUUAACUCGAACGGGCCGGGAAAACUUGAGAAUCCCUUUCUCUCUGGUUUUCUCACUCUCUGACCAGUUCUCUCUGUCAAUCUCCUCGUUUUCUCAAUUUCUCUCUCAAUCGAUCUCUCCCACUCCUAUCUUUAUUCUCUCCGGUCACCUCACUCCUCGAUUUCCCUAUAUCAGUGUAUGUGUCCCCAGAUAUCGUGAGGUUGGUGAGUGUAUCCGUGAGCCAGAAGAAAUGAAAGAUAAUGUUGGUGUUUUCCUUUUUUCGUGAGUGGAAGAAUGAAGUGUCUUGUUGUGAUGGUAUAAGGUGGAGAAGAUGAUGUUUAUGGUGUCCCCUUAGUGGUGGGGCCCGUAUGUGUGUAUAUAUCCCUCAUGGUGUGAGAGAUUUUUCUUUUUCUCCAAGCUAACACCGUGUAAAAUAAUAUAAAAGGAGGAGGUAUGGUCACGUGGGAGAGGGUAGGGGUGGUGAUGAUAAGAUUUGUUAGGAUAAAGUUUUUUACGAUAAGGUUAGGGAUUUAAUUUGUUAGAGAUUUUGUUAAGGGUUGUUAUUUUUUGUAUUUUUGUGGGAUAUAAUCAUACGGAUGAGGGUAUAUAAUAACAAGAGGUAAAAAAUGGAUAAAUUGAGUUUUGGGAGGGACAAAAUUUGGCGUCUACAAAUCCCAAAUGAUCCAUGUUUGUUUCAUCAGCCAAAGCCAACUUAGUUAGAAGAAACCGUGAGGGUCAUCAUAUUUGCUUUAAUAGUUCAUUCGUAGAGGAUGAACAUCUAUCGUUGUAAAGAUAAUUCUAUUUGAUUUUCAUAGUUCAUUCGAUGGAGGAUGAACAUGUCUGUUGCCGUAAAGGCCAGCAUAUUUAUUUUCAUAGCUAGUUCAUCCGGUGUAGGAUGUGUGUCUGUCGCAGGAGUGAAAACUAUGGACUUUGGUUGAUUUGAUUUUCUAUAGCAAAAAUCUUAGUUUUGGCAGAUGUUUAUGAGUUUUCUCUAUGGUUAUGUUUGGUAUGGAUGAAAAUGUUUUCUAUUUUUUUUCAUGUUUUGUUUCAAAAUACUAAUUGUCUCUAUGAAUAUAGGUUCCUUGAAAUAUUUUUUUAAUUUGGGCAUAAAACAAGUUCGAUAAAUUACAUUUUAAGUUCAAUAUCUUCUCCCAUCCCGAACGACCCCAACCCUAUGACAGCCCGUACACUCAUCAAUGCCGGCCAAUGGUAAAGCCAUUAAAAGUAAUAUCUUGAGGCCCCAUAGUUUUAAGACCUAUUUUUUUAAAAUUAAUAAUAAAGUAAUUUUCAUGGUAAUAUUCCUUAAAACUAAAAAUUUUACGGUUUAAAAAGGAACAUUCUCUUUAUCAAAGAGGAAAAGAGAAUUUGUUUAGCCAAUCUGAUUACAUUUUUUAACAUUCUUUUCUGGUUCUCACAUAUUGCCACAGAUAUAUUGAAAUGAUAAAAUUUUAUUCUAUCAUCGAGUUAUAAAUUUCAAGAAUAAAAUUCUAUAAUUCAAACUCUACAACCUAAUAUUUUUUAUAAUUUUAUCUUGAAAUUAUGAUUAUUUUUAAAAUUUAAGACCUCUUUAUAAUGUUUGUAUCAAAGUGACUAAUAUUUCAAUCUUGUUGCAAAAUUCAUCUUUAAUUUGAGUUGGUAUGUUAUUAAACUAUGGCAUAGUGAAAUUUUUUUAAAAAAUUCAACAAGUUUAUUAAAGAUUUGAGAAAACACAACUAUAGAACUCAACUUUUGAUAUUUGCUUUUUCUAUUUGUUUUUUCAUAUUUUUAUUGGUUUGCAUGAAUAAGUCAUUCAUGUCUUUGUUGUUCCAUUAACUAGGAGAUAAUUCGUUAUUACUUGUUUCUUUAUGUCAAAGACCAGAAGAUGCUAGCAUAGUUUUUUCACUCUUUUCUUAUGAGGCAUGUACUACAACUUUAACCUCACAGGCCUGGGCUGGACUUGCCUCCCUUUCAUAAGGAGUCGUACGAGGCGAAAACUCUACAUACGAUUCUAAGGUUUAGCCUUUCUAGAAAUAAAAUGAUCAGAUUAUUAUGGAUACCUAUAGAGAUUAAUGUAUAAGAUCGAAAUCUACAAACUGAUGCAUUAGACUCACCUUUUACUUGAAUACAUACGGGGAAAAUAACAUUUCACAUGAAGAGAGACAAAUAAAAUUUCAUGAAUUUUGAUCUCCCAAUUUAUCUAGUACCCAUUCUAUGUUUUGUUUUUCAUGAAUACUUGACUUUUAGGUAAAAGUUCAUGCUUUAUUUUUUCUUUUUUUGCUUUUACUUUUUCAGUCACCAUACAUAACUAAAACUUUGGCUUAUUUUAAUAUGAUGAUUGAUAUUUGUUCUUUAUGAUAGAUGAAAUUUUAUAUUUUCAAAUUUUAGCUUUUCUGGAGUGAAUUUGAGUGUUAAAAUUUGAAGAAUAGAAUAAUUAUUUUUUGCCAAUCCAAAUUUUUAAAAGUAAUUUAGAUAGGGCCAUGGCCCAACAUUAUCAAAAUUGUCAAUCUCAGCAUUGUCCCGUUCGGGGAGCAACAGUAUUAGAACAGUGAUCCAUUUUAUUACAUAUAAAUUAGUAUGUGUUGUAUGUGUACAUUUUAUAACUGCUAGGCUACUUUAUCAGUCAUAUACAUGAUUGUCUUGUGUAUUUAUAUAUUCAGACCAGAUCAAUACAUAUGCGUCUUAUGCAUAUACCAAUAGAUUAUUUUAUUUAUCAGCUAUAUAAGUAGGAAAUUUAUGAAUGUUUGAAAUUGUUGUGCAUAUUUAAAUAUGAUGUGAAUUUAUUUUUUUCAAGAACUGCAUAUAAAUAAGCUAAUUUAAUUAUGUCGGUAUGUUAUUUCACAGCAUAUAUAUAUAUAUAUAUAUAUAUAUUGUUGAAAGACUAUUGUUUAUUUUAUUGCGUAUACAUAAUGGUCUUAUAUAUAUGUACAUUUCAGAAUAGGUAAAUUGAAUUUUUUUAAAUAUGAGACAUAAGUGUUUUACGUAUAUGUUUGUUGUAGAAUUGCUAGGCUUUAUUAUUCUAUUAUUACUACAUGAUAUGCUUUGUUAACCUGCUAUAUAUCUGCUUUAGAUUGAUUAAUUCUUGUGUGUAACAUGAUUAUAUAUUCAAAUUGAUAAGUUCUUUAAUGAGGACGGAUGAAGUGUCAAUCAUUCCAAUGUCAGAUAUGAAAGAUUAUGAUGUACCUAACUUUGUAGACGAGGAAGAAGUAUUACAACCUAAAUAUCGAAGACCACUUGAAAGGCUGAAGAAAGGGAGACAUAAAAAAUUAAGGGAAACAAUGUCAUCAAGCACAUAUAGUUGUGGAAAGUGUGGUUGUACGGGUCAUAACAGGCGAACUUAUAAUUUCUUCCUAAAAAAUAAUUGAAAUUUGUGCAGAUACAUAGAAUUGUUCACUUGCAUUACUUAUAAUUAGUUAUGUAUAUUUAAAUAUGGUGUGAAUUUAUUUUAGCGUAGUUUCUACAUUUACUAAAUCUUAUUUAGCGAUGUUUCAUGCAAUGACUAUAAUAAUAGUUUCUGAUGUUUUAUUAAAUUAACUUAUGAGAUGCAUUUUUUAUA
rnacentral:lncRNA from 1 species